GCCCGUUGCUUCUUGCUGGCCUUCAGGCUCUGCAGGCCGUGCUCCUUUAAGGAUUGAAAGUCUCUCGGACAGCCCUCUCAUCCUUGGAAAGAGGAUGAAAUCAUAUAUCAGACCUCCAAGUGCUCCACCAAUGAUGGGACCAACCCAGUAGACCUGCAGCCAAGAAGACCAUAAUGCCUGUUCUAGCAAAGUAUGGGGUUCCAGAGGAUGAAUCUGCUGUUAUAAAUUGAAGUGACCUGUCCUUAAUUCUGAAAAGAGCAUCAAGACCCUCAGGAAAGAGGAACAAAGUGGCACAAAGAAAGUGUACUACUGAGAACACUGGACAAGUACUAUAAGUAAUAUCGUGUGCAACCACUUACCCCAAAGAGGUGCCCCAAGGUGAGGGAGAAUCCAAUAGCCAAAGACACAGAGCCAAGACGCCCAUUCCUCCUCUCAUCAUAGGUGGCAAAGAUACAAAUCACAAACUGCAAGGUGAGGAAAAUCUCUACAGUUGUUGCUUGGCCAAGGCUCACACCAGGAUGAAUCUAUGUAUAGGGCAAAAAGAAAACAGCAUACAUAUUAUAAACUUGGCACACAAUCUGUCUGAUAAGUGCAUUUUGGUUAUUUUAUUCUAUAAUCUAUUUAAUCAAAGUAAUC